GGGGAGGCAGGGAGGAGAAAUUACUGCACUGGCAAUUGUUCGAGAACAGCCUGCAAAGCUCGCACUCAACGUAGGUCUCUUCCCACCCCCAGUACACCCACGGGGGAGCAGGGGCUGGCUCCAGCUCUUGCUCAUGGGCAGGGCACAGAGGUGUGGCAAUUUUGUGCAGAAAGAGGGACAGACUGGGAGUGACCUAAUCUAGCUCCAUGAAAUCCGAGAGCCCCUGAAGCUGCUUCACAGGCAAGACUUCUGCCCAUCUGGAGAUGUAUGGACCAUGAAAAGGCCCUUUUUCUGGGAGGUUGGAAAUCUGUGCUGUCCCUCACUUGAGUGUGUAUGGAGAUGGUCUGGAAAGACAAACCGAACUUCAUCCUGACUCAGAUUAUAAGCCGGUGGGUUACCAGUGAAGGGUGAGGGGCCUGCCAAGGCUUAUUAUCAGCCUGCCAGGAUGGCGGGUGACCUCCCUGGCAUCUUGCAGCGCUUAGAGGAGCUUCUACCAUUGCCACUAUGGAAAAGGCCUGAAUUCGGGAAAAGAAGCCCACGAAAGGCUUACAAGUUCAACUCAAAGACUGGACAAGCUUCUUAGAAGCACGACUGUAGAUUAUCAAAGAGAAGAGGCAGUGACCUGGUUCAGAUCGCAGCUCACAAAACCACUGCCUAGCUUUGUGACCUUGGUCAUUUUGUUUUCACUUCCCUCAUCUGUAAAACAGGGAGAAUAAUGAUUUCUACCUUACUAGUCAUUGUGAGGUCCAAAUGAGUUAAUACUCAGAACCACGCCUGGCAUAUGGUAAGUGUCCUGGAUUGUUAUUACUACUGUUGUUACAGGUGUGACCACAGAUGGGAAGGGUUUUUUUUUUCCAUUUCUCUUUAAAUUCUCCCCAAAAAUACCCCAUUAAAAAAGCAAGGAUGAGAAACAAGUCCAAGUCUGCUUCUAGGUUCUGUUCCUUGCUAAAUUCAUUGGAAAACCAGCCCGAGUGCUACUGAUCAACCUAUCCUUGUCCAGAGAAGCCUGGAAUUACAGGAACAGAGGUCCAAUCACAGCUUAGAAGAAGGCCCCAGCCUUCCACUUUCCACUCUGCUAAGGGUGGCAAAUGCUCUGAGCUUUUGUUAUGAGCAACUCAAUAAUGGACAUCUUAGGAUAAGCUAAAAAGGAAAAGUUAGCAGGUGAAAAACAAGCAGGGCAGUCUCAAAUGAAUUUGUUCACAGUCUGUUUCAUGCCACCUCAGGGGAAUUCUACUGCCCAGAAACACUCCCUUCUCCCCAACUAAGGCCCAAACAAGGGAAAACUGAUGCCUGAGCGAAGGUCCCUCAAAUUAUCUCAGGAGCAGAAAUUCCCAGCUCCGAGCUCUCCCUGCACAAUGUAGUUGGUGAGUGGAAAGACUCCUAGGAUGAGAAUCAGGAGAUCCAGGUUCAGGUUCUUUGGCCUGAACAUGUUGGUGGCCUCUCUCAAUUGUGGUUUUCAUCUUUGCUCAGCCUGUUCCAUGAGGGGCAUCCUCAGAUGGGAAUCAAACACACACAAUGGAGACCCUCCACGACCAGGGCCCGUCACCCCCUCAGUCUGACACAUAGAGUGCUGGAGGGGGUUGCUUUGGAGUGAGGCGCACUGACCCAAUCCGUCAGCUGCACCCAGGUGAACAGUUCCUUCACGCCCCCGGGCCUGACACACGGGGGUGACAGGCAUACCUCACGGGUUUGUUCUUGAUGUGCACGAAGACCUUUCUUGGUGUCUCAAAUGUAACAGAGUUCCAAGCUCAUUAGUACCCUCAUCUCCCAUUCUUUCCCAGACAAGCCCCGUGGCCCCAGGGGAAAGGUCAACAUCAUGCACACUCUGUUCUUUCCCGUGGGGCCCUGGCCUACCGGGUUCCCUUGCCUGUGAAACCAGUCUACCCUUAUUCCCAUGUUUAAAUCCUAUCCACCCUUUAGCGCCCACUUCAAAUGCCACCUCUUCCAUGCAGCCUGCCUGAACCCUGCCUAGCCAAAGCAAACUGUCCUUUUGAACAUUCAUAGAAGUUCUGGUGCAUAUAUUUCACUCUCUGCUUUGUCUCACCAGUGGGGCAUCUUGUCUUAUCUCCUCUCUCUGCUAGGAGACUCCCUGUUGAUGGCAAGGAUUAUGCCUCUCUACAGUUACGAACACAGAAGGGGUCACAGCCUCAAGCAGGAGUUUUUCAGAACCGCAAAUUCAUAGGUCCACCUCAGACCUACUGAAUAAAAA